rnacentral:lncRNA from 1 species
AGGAGUUUGGUGGAGGGAGUGGCUGAACACGGACAGGACGUGGAAGGUGGGGCCCUGUCCGCGGCGCUGGCGUCUGGAGCUUGUGAGGCGGAUGUGGACAUGAAGUGGGAGCGGGCAGGGGUGGUCCGGCGGGUGGAGAGUCUGGAUGAGCUGCGGGUGGCCGAGAGCUUGGAAAUGUACAGGGGAGGACCCCAAGCGACAGUUGUGAGCGACAGGCAAGUGGAGGUGGUCCCGGACCCCUGGAAGUGUUUGUUGAGGUGGCAGCGAGCAAGGCACAGGUCAGCUGCUGCUCUUGACAGCGAAUGAGAAAAAUAAAAGGAAGGGACGAUGACGUCAUUCUUCUUUCGGAUCGAUUUUCGGACUUGUUUUGCGUUUAUUUUUGCUUGUUUUUAAUUAUUUAAUCGUUGC